GAUGAACGCUGGCGGCGUGCCUAAUACAUGCAAGUCGAGCGAACGGACGAGAAGCUUGCUUCUCUGAUGUUAGCGGCGGACGGGUGAGUAACACGUGGAUAACCUACCUAUAAGACUGGGAUAACUUCGGGAAACCGGAGCUAAUACCGGAUGAUAUUUUGAACCGCAUGGUUCAAAAGUGAAAGACGGUCUUGCUGUCACUUAUAGAUGGAUCCGCGCUGCAUUAGCUAGUUGGUAAGGUAACGGCUUACCAAGGCAACGAUGCAUAGCCGACCUGAGAGGGUGAUCGGCCACACUGGAACUGAGACACGGUCCAGACUCCUACGGGAGGCAGCAGUAGGGAAUCUUCCGCAAUGGGCGAAAGCCUGACGGAGCAACGCCGCGUGAGUGAUGAAGGUCUUCGGAUCGUAAAACUCUGUUAUUAGGGAAGAACAUAUGUGUAAGUAACUGUGCACAUCUUGACGGUACCUAAUCAGAAAGCCACGGCCAACUACGU
rnacentral:rRNA from 1 species